rnacentral:rRNA from 1 species
UACGGAGGGGGCUAGCGUUAUUCGGAAUUACUGGGCGUAAAGCGCACGUAGGCGGCUUUGUAAGUUAGAGGUGAAAGCCUGGAGCUCAACUCCAGAACUGCCUUUAAAACUGCAUCGCUUGAAUCCAGGAGAGGUGAGUGGAAUUCCGAGUGUAGAGGUGAAAUUCGUAGAUAUUCGGAAGAACACCAGUGGCGAAGGCGGCUCACUGGACUGGUAUUGACGCUGAGGUGCGAAAGCGUGGGGAGCAAACAGG